UUCGCUUUGAAUCUCUUCAUUCUUCUCUCGUUCAGUUGAGGCACGAGCUGCAGCAGGGGAUGCACAACGGACGACUGGGAGGACAUGAACACACACAGAUGAGCACAACGGCUCCUCGGCACUGGGCAUAAAGACGGUUUCCUAUUUGCUUUUACCCACUCUACUUGUCCCAGAGAAAAAAGAAAAUUAAAGAUGUCAUCUGUGAACUAAAAAUAAACUCCUAAGUUCCAGCUCCGCCCCCACCCCCUGAACAAAUGGACCCCAUUAAAGGGUUCUAUAAAGCACGACUGCAUAGGCACAUGUUUCUCUUUCCAUAAGUAUUCGUGGCUCCUCCCAUAGCGGGUAAAUACGUAUAUUUGGCCAUCUCGCUCCGGCCGGGGGCUCUGCUUUCCAGCCCGCCAGAAUGGCCACCCGUGGACUGCAACCUUUUAUGAGAAAGGAAGCUCUCCUUUCCAAAUUCCGAACCUUGUUAACAUUUUUUUUUCGGUUAACAUAUCAAAGACAGCCCUUUGUUAGCAGUUCAAAGAACUGUGGAGAAUAAGCCGAGAGAUGGAAUAAAAUUUGAUAGCUCUACAUGAGGGUUUUUGUCAUUAUAUUGAAGCACUUUUUUGAGGGCCUCUGCGCUCCUGUCAGCUGCAAAAAUCAAACCUCCUCUGGCUGCAUCUUUGAGAGGCAGGAAGCAGUUGCUUCUAGACUUACUCAAAAUGAUUUGAGUCAGAUGAAACCAACGCUGUGAGUAGCAGUUUUCCAUCAUAAACGUAUUUAUUUGGAAGAUUAUACUGUACACACAUCUAGUAAUCUCCUCCUAAUAAAUUAUAUAUUUAAAAUAGAAACACACUGAGCAAGACAACAGGGAACACAAAAAUGACCAUGUGCUGUUGACAGUGAAAAAUGUGGUUAAGAUACAUUUUCUCCAUAGGUAAAGAUGCCAAGCAGAAGAAAAGGAAAGCACACUUGAGACAUGUACCUAGCUACCUGAUAUGGCUGCAUUUUUUUAAAGUUUCUUCAGCCAUAUAUCAGGGAUGACAUCACUCCAGAGAGUUCUUGGAAGGACUGAAUGUUGGGUUUCCUGCAGAGAAAGACCUGUGAUAAAGAUGUGAAUGCAAGUAGAUCAUUUGGGAGGUGAUCCAAGAUGCACUGGGAGAAGAAUGGAGACGUAAAACAGGGAAGGAAAGAAAUUCAAUAAAGGGUAUGUUAACAAGCAGGCCACUGUGAGUGACUGGGGCUAGGUCUGUCUGGGGAACUCUGGAAGAUGGUGUAGGACUGUGGUCCUCAAUCCCUGGGCUGUGGGCUGGUUCCGGUCCAUGGCCUGUUAGGAACCCAGGCUGCAUAGCAGGAGGUAAGCGGCAGGCAAGCAAGUGAAGC